rnacentral:lncRNA from 1 species
UAGAUGGAGAAAACAGAACCUGAAGACACCCGUUUCCCUAAACUGCUCUCGCUCAUGUCUUCAUCAUUGCAUUACCACCACCCAACACUAUCGGGGGACCUGCCCUGAUAAUCAGUUCCUCCCACUGAAGAAUCGGAGUAUAUUUCUCCAGUCCCUAAUGUUGGGUUUAGUCAUGUGUCUAGCUUUGGCCACUGGAAUAUUAAUCUGUAUGACCAAAAACUUGGAAAGUGUGAAUUCAUUUCUGCUCACUCACUCCUGCUAUCACCAUGAGAACAAGCCCAGGCCAGACUGCUGCUUCCAGCAGAAGAGACAGCAAGAGCAACGUCGAGCUUCCCAGACAUGCUCAUGCUAGAUUGACCAAUCCUCAGCUGACCCAUAGAUCCAUGAAAAUAAACUCUACAGGUGUAUCCAGCAGCUCCAGAGAGACAGCGACCAGCGAGAAGGGGCCAUGAUGAUGGAGGUGGUUUUGUCAAAACGAAAAUGGGGAUAUGUAGGGAAAAGAAAGAGAGAUCAGACUGUUACUGUGUCUACAUAGAAAGGGAAGACAUAAGAGACUCCUAAAACCAACACAAAACAGAUGAAAGAAGUAACCAUCGGUAGUCCUGACAUCAACAUGAGCUUCAACCAUCGUUGAACAUUUUUCAACCAUGGAACAUAUUUUGUCACAGGUAAGAGGUGGAGAGAAACAUAAAUCUGGCUUACAUGCACGUCCAGUCAUAGUACCUUCCCUUGAACUUCAUUAUGACAUAGAUUCUAUUGCUCACAUGUUUGUUGCUG